rnacentral:lncRNA from 7 species
AUUCUACUGGAGAUUCCUGUGUUCCUCAGGUCUUCUGAAGGAGGUUUCUGUCACUCACGGCCUGCUGUCCUUCUGUGUCAGAGGAAACCCAGUGUAAUGAGACAUGCUGCUAAGAAGGUUCUGGAGGAGGCUAGAGCACUCUUACCUGCAAUACCUGAGGAAUGUGCUUUUGUAGAACACUCAAAACGUACUUAUGAUUCUUCGGGCACAUAAGGCUGGACAGUCCAUUCACAGAUGGCCUUGAAGUCUUCAGCUUCUCUUGGUAAAGUAAUCUAUCCAUUCACAAAUAUCAACAUUUGUUCAAGGUACAGACUUAUUUUUUUUCAUUAUCUGUCAAAUCAUUCACAUUCUGAAAUACACUGUGAAUUGCUCUCAGAAGCAUUUCUUAUCAUUCUAAUGUGGCAUUCCUCAUGACUAAGAAAUGGUUAUUCAUCAUGACUCAUUAGACUCAAACAUAUUAAAUUUGUUUCAGAAAUAGAUAUUCACUAUGUGGGAAGUAAAAGGCAACACUAGUUUAUAUGUAAAUAGUGGGCAGUAAAAAUAGGUAGGAAAGAGCAGAUCAUAUUUAAAAAGAUUAAAUGUUACAGAAAACACAUGAUCAUCUACCCCUGUAACUAAGUAACAUCUAUUGGAAAGGGACACAAGCUUCUUCAGUAAAGAAACGCACAGAACCGUGGCGGUGUGCCUUUAACCGAUAGCUUCCUGCUGAAUAAGUGCUGAGGGCAUUCCUGAAAUUCCCAGAAGAAGGCUGCUGGCGGGAGCACGCUGUCGUGGCUCUGUUUUGUCCCAGUUCUGUGCUGACGGCUGUGCUGCAUCCACGCAGACACCGGCUGUCCUUUGCAGCCAUAUAUGGACAACACCCGGAUUGAACUCGGCCCUCUUCUGUCCCCGGAACUCUCUGAGGUCUCAUGUUACGGAUUUCUAGUGAUGUAAUUAUAUGCAUCCAGUGACCAAAUUUGGUAGCUACCUCCUGGAGGCAUGGUUGGAGGUUCUUUUUUUUAAAUUAUAAAUCUCACCUCAAUUAGAUAAUUUCUUCCUUAAUUUAUUUUUAAAAUGU